rnacentral:rRNA from 1 species
UAAGGAAUAUUGGACAAUGGCCGCAAGGCUGAUCCAGCCAUGCCGCGUGCAGGAUGAAGGUGCUCUGCAUUGUAAACUGCUUUUGUUCGGGAAUAAACCCUUUCACGUGUGAGAGGUUGAAUGUACCGAAAGAAUAAGGGACGGCUAACUUCGUGCCAGCAGCCGCGGUAAUACGAAGGUCCCAAGCGUUAUCCGGAUUUAUUGGGUUUAAAGGGUGCGUAGGCGGGUUAUUAAGUCAGUGGUGAAAGCUCCCAGCUCAACUGGGAAACUGCCAUUGAUACUGAUAGUCUUGAGUAUGAUUGAAGUGGGCGGAAUGUGUCAUGUAGCGGUGAAAUGCUUAGAUAUGACACAGAACACCGAUUGCGAAGGCAGCUCACUAAGCCAUAACUGACGCUGAUGCACGAAAGCGUGGGGAGCAAACA